ACCGCUCGGGUCACAUACCAAUCAUUUUAAGCACAUUUUUGGUGUGAUUUUGUUACGGGUACGGGACAACUGAGUUGACCUGCACGUGACAUCAUCUGGUGCUGGCUCGAGUGAUAGUGAUGAAAUCGUCAUGGCUAUUUUCGGAGCUUAUUUAGAGUAGCUAUCAGUUGUUUUAGUCAACUCCAGGAUUGAAAACAGUAAACACAUAACAAGUUGAUGUGAAGAAUAUGAAGCUCCAGUUAUGAAUGCGCCUGGUGUUCACGGUGUUUAUCAGUUCACAAACAUACACACGGAAGAGCAGUGACGGUUGAAGCUAUCAAUGGAAUGUACCCCACUGGUAGGUGAGAAAGGCAAAUCGCACAGGGAGGAGACUACAAGAUCAGGUUGACAUGCAGUCGAAAGAAGAUAGAAAUGAGUUUGCCACAACUUCGGAAAAACACUCAUGGCUGCAGGAGACUACCCCUUUCCUGUAGGUGUGGCUGGCGCUUCGACUUGACAUCACGUGGGAUCGAGCCAUCUCCACAAAGUCAUCCUAUAGGGUAGUCAUGGAACUGGUCACUCACUCACAGUCUGGCAGGUUCAGAAGUACUGAUGGUUCUACAUGCAACACAUCCCGACAGACGGCAGUAAACCGAUUUGUUUUGUCUAUUUGUAGUUUGGUCAGUCUGAGAAACCGACGUACAAAAAUUAUCCAUUUGUUGUGGCCUUAUAUGAUACAUAUACGAAUAUAGAGACACACCAGGAAUGGUA